UUUCCGUAGGUGAACCUGCGGAAGGAUCAUUAUUGUAUAACCAAGGUGCGAGAGCUUUCUCAGACCCAAAUGUACGUUCACGCCCGAGGGCGCUCACACACCGCCCUCGGACCCCUAUGGGCACCACCGCGAGGGUACCCCUUUGUCUUGUUCGGAGGGGGGCUUGCGUUUUCUGUCAAGCUUUGUAUAAAUUUUUGAAUGUAUUUUUUGUUUGUGCGAUCACCGAAUCAAUACAACUUUCAACAACGGAGCACUUGUCUGUCGCAUCGACGAAGACCG
rnacentral:misc_RNA from 1 species